rnacentral:lncRNA from 1 species
UUGCUGAAGCAAUGGUCUUUAGCCAUGGGAUGUAGAAUUAUAUAAGUGAUCUAUCAAAUGUGGCGAUUCAAAAUAUUUUAUGACAAAAUACCUGAGUCAGUCCCAUGCCAAAGGCAAACUUUGCAAGAGCUUUCAAGCGUGCAAGGGAAAGCUCCAAUCCCAUUUCAAAAAGCUGUAAAAUGAUACUUCCUUCAGUUAACUCCAGCCUUGCAACAUUCUUAACAAACAAAAACCAAGCAAUACAAGAGAAAGAAUACAGCAUAUGAUGAAAAUGGGAGAAGAGAAAAUUUUGAAUUAACAAGUUGAAUCUGCAAUCCUGUGAU